rnacentral:rRNA from 1 species
UACGUAGGGGGCAAGCGUUGUCCGGAAUCAUUGGGCGUAAAGCGCGUGUAGGCGGCUCACUAAGUCCGCUCUGAAAGCCCGGGGCUCAACCCCGGGAGGCGGGUGGAUACUGGUGAACUUGAGUCCGGAAGAGGCGAGUGGAAUUCCCGGUGUAGCGGUGAAAUGCGCAGAUAUCGGGAGGAACACCAAUUGCGAAGGCAGCUCGCUGGGACGUCACUGACGCUGAGACGCGAAAGCGUGGGGAGCAAACAGG